UUGAAGCUGAGAUUAUUGAAAAGAAAUGAAGAGGCUUUAUAUGUGCAUUCUAUAUAAUAACUCUAUCAUUUGUGUGUGCAAUAAACAAAAGAAGCAAUAACCGUGUAAUCACUCGUUACUAUCCUCCUCUCCACAC
rnacentral:ribozyme from 1 species